ensembl:lncRNA
GCAGAGGUUGCAGUGAGCCAAGGUUGCCCCACUGCACUUCAGCCUGGGCAACGAGCAAAACUCUGUCUCAGAAAAAGAAGAAAAUGAUUGAGAAUGGUUUAUUCAUUUCAUGUUGUCAGAAGUGUUUCCAAAGAAAAAGGGCAAAUUCUUCCACUUAUAUUAGUAUUAUGUUUGCCGGUUAACAUUUGGCCAUGUUUGCGUUUCCUGUGGUUUUUCACUACACAUGUAUAUACAGUUAUGUAGGGACCCAUUUAUACCCACGCAUGUUCUGAUGCGAUUGUUUGAGUACAGACAUGGCGAUGCUUCACCUGGUAGCCUCAGCCUGCAGCCUGGGAACGACAGCGUCCUCCAUGGCACCACAGCACCUCUCGACCAGCUUCCGGUCCCGGCAUUCUUCGUUAAAACUAAGACUUCCUGUGCCGCUCUCCCUCUGUCCCCCGCAGAGAUCACUCUGCUUGUCUUUAGGCCACUGAAGUAGUCCCGGAGGGCCUGGGUCCGCGAGCUUGGUGAAAAGCGAUGCUCCGACCUCCUCAUCUGUGACACUCGAGGGCUCCUCGUCCACUGUAGCAAGUGCAGAGGACACGGCCCGGGCAGUGCCUGCGGGGAGACGGCACUGGCCUGGACUGCGCGGUGAGCAGGGCUCCUCAGGCUUCCUGGGCCCUUGUCCUCCCAGGCUGGUGGCACUGUGUGCCUGUUGUAGGGGCCGGGUGCAGGCAGCGGGAAGGCCCAGGUGUGGCUUGCAGGCCUCUAAUGCCAACUGCACCACCUUGAAGCUCCACUCCAGCUAUGCUGUGGCCCCAUGGCCAGGUCUGGGGUCGUUUCUUAUGACACCACCUGUCCUAUUUUUGUUACCUGGUCCCUGCGCUAGUUAAAAAGCAAGUAGAAAGGUUAAGCAUCACUUGUGCGGUCCCCUGGCAGCUAGGUGACAGCCCCUCUGUCAGUCACGUCAGUCAUCAGGGCUAGAAGGGUCCAUGCUCACUGGACCUGUCCGGCCUCCUCCUGACCAUCAGCAAGGGCACCACCCACUCUGAGCUGCUGUGGCCCAUGACGCCACCGUUUCCUUUCUCUCUAAUUGUUCAGGCAGGCCUGUGAGCCCACAGAAUGACAGCCUCAAGCUCCGGGCCUCAGGGUGGGCCCCUGACAAGGAUUCUGUUCUUACCACUGAUCUUUCAUGCUGACGGAAAGGCACAGGGCAGGCGGCCGGCCAGCUGUCGCGGGCUCGAGUGAAAUCUGUGGAUAAGUGCGGAGAUAGGAGACACUGCACUGGUGAUACCUCAGGGCCUCGGGGCCACACCAACAGGGGCCGGCUGGUGCCGUGACCCAGUCACAGUGCCUGUCUCUGUCAUCAGCUUUUCCUUUUCCCCCAUAUUUUCACCUUGGUUAGAGGGCAGGAGGUCCGCUCGGUUUGCCAGCAACCUCACAUUGAUAAGAGUAAGGGCACUUCUAGCUCUCCAAUCCUGGGAUUUUAUGAGAUAUGACGGGUUUUGUGUCCCUGGAAGGAUGUAGGACUGUGCCUGUCAUUGGGUUGGUUCUCAUCUAGACAGAGCGGGUGCCUGUUUAUUGAGCAGCCUGGGUCUCCACCCCCAGAAGUGUGCGUAGGAGGAUCUCUGAAUCCAUUCUUUUCAUUCCCCACUCUGCCGUGAAUACUGUUGCAAGCAUCCACAUUAAUAUCUAUUUUGUAAUUCUUUUUUUUUUUUCUUUUUUGAAAUGGAGUCUUGCUCUGUUGCCAGGCUGGAGUGCAGUGGAGCAAUCUGAGCUCACUGCAACCUCCACCUCCUGGGUUCAAGUGAUUCUCCUGCCUCAGCCUCCCGAGUAGCUGGGAUUACAGGCACCUGCCACCACACCCAGCUAUUUUUUGUAUUUUUGGUAGAGACGGGGUUUCACCAUGUUGGUCGGUAUGGUCUCGAUCUCUUGACCUCGUGAUCCACCUGCCUCAGCCUCCCAAAGUGCUGGGAUUACAUAUUUUGUAAUUCUUAAAAGCUGAUGGAUGAUCCAGGACACCUGUGCUGUCUCCAGGAGAAGUAUCCUCAUUGAAAGUAAAGCAAGCUUCUUUUUUGUUGGCUGGGCAUGGUGGCUCAUGCCUGUAAUCCCAUCACUUUGAGUAGCUGGGGUGGGAGGACUGCUUAAAACUAGGAGAUUGAGAUCAGCCUGGGCAACAAAGUGAGACCCACCCCGCAUCCAUACAAAAAUGUAAAAGAUUAGCCAGACAUGUUGGCAUGCACCUGUAGUCCUAGCAACUCAGGAGGCUGAGAUGGAGGGUCCCUGGAGCCCAGGAGUUCGAGGCUGCAGGGAGCUAUGAUCAUACGACUGUGUUCCAGUCUGGGCAACAGAGUGAGACCCUGUGUCUUCAUUCUAAAAAAAAAAAAAAAAA